UUUUCUUUCAUAUUUUGUUUUGAUUUGACCACUUCUUGUGCCUAUUUUGUUCUACUUCCUCUCCAUACAUUUUUCCUAUUUACUCUUAAAUAAUGACCAAAAAAUAGGUAUUAUACUAAUUAUGAAACUCCAAAAUUCUCUUCUUCUUCAAUCCUCUUCUCCUUCAACCCUUUCUUUUCUCAAUUCAUCUCCAAAAUCAAACAAAUGGGGUCAUAAAAAUCCAAACUUUAUUUGUAAACUUGUUCUUUUUAGCCCAAAAUCACUUGGUUCACAAUAUUUUGAGAAAAAUGAGUCUAAAGGUCAUAGUAGAAGCAUACAACCAUGUUGUUGUAGUUCAAGAUUUGAUGAAGAAAAAUUUGAUGGUGAAGGGAUUGAAAGAGGGGAAAAUGAAGGGUCUUGUGCAAUUUUUGGGAGUAAAGAUUCAAUUUUUCCAUCAAAAUUUGAGUCUCUUGAGCCAAGUUUGUUUGGUAUUGAGGCAGAACCAGAAGCACCCUAUUGGCCAGAAAGGGAGGAAGUUUUAUGGGCACAUAUAGAACAAAAAGCCAAAAGUUUUGGACUUCCUUUGUCACUUAGAAUGAUGCAAAAGAAACAUCAAUGGGAAUCUUGUAGAUUUAAAGAUUUAAAGGUAACAAAUUCUUGCACAUCAAAGGCUUUAAAUUCAUUGGUAUUUAUUAUUGUGGAGCUGCAAACUUAUGCAUUGCAUAUGAGGGAAUCAAUUUGUAAUGAAGAUUUAGAAAUGAUUAUUGAUAAAGUGCAAAGGGAUAUGUAUGCAUCAUUUGUAUGUCUUUUUCGACAAGUAUUUUCGCAAACACCUAUGUUAAUGAUGGAGGUAAUGACUCUCUUGGCUAACUUUAGUGUUUACUCUGCUUCUGGUGAGAAUUGUGAUCAACCAUAUCUAAAAGUUCAUUAUCCUGAUAUUGUUCCUCAAGAUGUGUCAAAAGUAGUGUGGACUGAUGAAGAGAAAGAAUUGUGGGAUUCAAUACAAGAUGAAGCUUUGAAUAUGAGGGGUGGUUCAAGGGGCAUUGAUUUUGAUAAUGAAGUCAUGUCGAAGUUUGUUUCGCCAUUGUCAGUGGAGAUUGAACCAGAUAAUAGUGUUGACUAUUAUAAGACUGAUCUUGUUUAUCAGAUGAAUCUCACACAUGAGCCUAAUAACACUCUUUUGCUAUGCAAUUAUGCAAACUUUCUGAAAGUCUUCGUUCGAGAUAAUAAUAGUUACUGUUCAGAUUGACUUGGACCGUUCUUCCUUGAGCCAAGGGUCUAUCAUAAACAACAUCUCUAUCUGAGGGCGGAGGAGUGCUUCAAACGGGCAGUCCAAGUGGAACCACCGGAUGCAGAGGCCCUAUGUCAGUACGCGAUCUUCUUGUGGAAGGUUAAGAACGAUUUAUGGGGAGCAGAAGAAAAAUACCAACAGGCAGUGGCAGCUGAGCCUAGGAACCCUUAUUAUAGAUGUACAUAUGCCAAUUUCUUGUGGAACACGGGUGGCGAGGAAACUUGUUUCCUUCCAAGUAGUACUUCUUCUAUCAAUAACAAGAAGGGUGAAGAAGUUUAGUCGUAACAGAGAAAAAUUGUUCAAGAAAUGCAUCAAACUAAGGAGAAAAAUGGGAAAUGGCUAUAUUAUUUGUUCUUGAUUUUCUGUGUCUAGAUUGAGUAGAGUGAUUUGCAUGGGAGCUGUUCACCACCACCAACAACAACAUCUACGGUUCAGUACCAAACAAGUUGAGGUCGACUAUAUGAAUCUGUACUGUCAUAGUUCGAGGUCAAUUUUGUGGUCGAUAAUAAGUGAAUUGAGUUCUCAAAUUUUUGUAGAGUAGGGUAUUUCAUCUUUUGACUGACUUGUUAUUAAUAUAUUUUUGUAUUUUUGAGUGAGUUUGGUAAAAAAAAAAUUAUAAUCAAUUGGGAAUGUCUUGUAUGAUUAAUCAUUGUGUUACUUCCUACAUUGUAUAUCAACGUACAUUUUUUUCUUU